AGCGGCGGACGGGUGAGUAACACGUGGGCAACCUGCCUGUAAGACUGGGAUAACUUCGGGAAACCGGAGCUAAUACCGGAUAAUCCUUUUCCUCUCAUGAGGAAAAGCUGAAAGACGGUUUCGGCUGUCACUUACAGAUGGGCCCGCGGCGCAUUAGCUAGUUGGUGAGGUAACGGCUCACCAAGGCGACGAUGCGUAGCCGACCUGAGAGGGUGAUCGGCCACACUGGGACUGAGACACGGCCCAGACUCCUACGGGAGGCAGCAGUAGGGAAUCUUCCACAAUGGACGAAAGUCUGAUGGAGCAACGCCGCGUGAGCGAUGAAGGCCUUCGGGUCGUAAAGCUCUGUUGUUAGGGAAGAACAAGUACCGGAGUAACUGCCGGUACCUUGACGGUACCUAACCAGAAAGCCACGGCUAACUACGUGCCAGCAGCCGCGGUAAUACGUAGGUGGCAAGCGUUGUCCGGAAUUAUUGGGCGUAAAGCGCGCGCAGGCGGUCCUUUAAGUCUGAUGUGAAAGCCCACGGCUCAACCGUGGAGGGUCAUUGGAAACUGGGGGACUUGAGUGCAGAAGAGGAAAGCGGAAUUCCACGUGUAGCGGUGAAAUGCGUANAGAUGUGGAGGAACACCAGUGGCGAAGGCGGCUUUCUGGUCUGUAACUGACSCUGANGCSCGAAAGCGUGGGGGAGCAAACAGGAUUAGAUAC
rnacentral:rRNA from 1 species